AACUAUUGAUAGUACCACCACAACAAUAGUACAAUCAUCCACAUCAACAAUAGCAAGUCCAUCAAUAUUACCCUUUUUGAUUUCUUCUAAUCAUUCAACUACUGAAAGUACUCCCUCAACAACACCACAAUCAACUUCCACAAGAACUGCACAGAACUCAUCAUUUUCAAGUACUGAACGUCCCACUUCUGGGCUAGCAGUCUCAGCAACUGGCACCACAGCAUCAGGUUCUACGUUUUCUAUGAAUGGAUCUUCAUUUUCUCCUUAUUUGUCAAGCACCAUUUCUUCAGGAACAGCCCAACCUGCUGUUGUAAUUCUUCAAGUCUCAGCUCUAAUUUCAGAAGCUAUGAGUACUGAAGUAAAGAUGAUCAUCUUACAGAAGAUUCAAGAAUUGGUGAGUAGGGUAAGCCCCUCAGCUGUGGUUUCCAUUAAGUCAGUUGCACUAGCCUGAAAAAAAUCAUAGAAGACUCUAGGAACAACAACAACAGCAGCAAAAAUGUUACUUCCUUUUCAAUUUAAGAACACAGUCCAUGCAUGCAGAAUGGAGUAUGAAGACUUCUGCACUGGUUCUUUGCCACAGAGAAACCUCCCACAUAACCCUGAAGGGUCACUUUGUCUGUGCUGUGUGAUGCGAUGUUUGUGCAACGUAACUGAAGUAGGCAUCACAAUGAACUACAGUGCAAAACAUGAAGCUCUUAGAAAUCAGUCAUUGUUUUUAUGAUGAUUGUUUUGGUUUUUUUGGUUUUCUAUAUUACUUACCCUUACGUUAACUUAUAGAGGUCAUUGUAGGAGAACUAAUCAAUGCAAGAAAAGCCAGUACUGUCCAAAUUAUAAUUAUUACAAACACAAACAUUUCUGUACUUUGUUUACAGUAAAGCUUUCAUUAUGUGAUUUUUUUGAUAAUUAAAUUGGACAUUAAAAUGUAUUAUUAUGUUGAUCGAUGCUGCCUACAAUGCCUAGAAGGAAAUUCAGAAAACAUAUGAUUGUGGGUUCUUUUACUAAUUAUUGUUUUAUCAACAUCUUUUGUAAAGUUUCCUAUUCAUAUUUUGGCAUAAAUAUUUGAUAUACAUUGUGUAUAAUACAUAAAUAUAUAUUAAUCUGUAUAUGGUGUAUCUCUGAUCAUGUAUGAAACACAGUUCAAUGGUACAGAGGUGACAGGGUCUAUCAAGAUAACACUGGAUGAAAGGUAGAAUUCAACCCUAAAUAGAGUACCAGUCCAUCAUAGGAUCUGGUCAUGCAUAUUCCCAUGAGGUGUGUGAUGGAUGGUGGCUGGUGCCAUUACCCAGCUUGGACGCCUCCGUAAUGGAAGGACAGGUGGAGAUGACUAUGGUGGAGGGCACUAUCUCUUCCAAACUGCUACUUGGCAGCCCCCUGGGUUGCAAUGGAUUCCCACAGGGCUGGAGACAAACUGGAGUCAGAGGGCAACACUUGCAAGGAGGAGGAGGAGGUGACCUGAAAGAAAGAGAGAGAGACAAGGGGAAGAAACAAACUGUAUAUUGGUGCCUUAUUCUUGUGUACUGUUUGUACUGGUCUGUAGUGGGGAGCAAGGGAAAGUGCUUUCUAACGGAAAUAAAUGUCUGUGUUGCAGA